rnacentral:rRNA from 1 species
AUUGAACGCUGGCGGCAGGCCUAACACAUGCAAGUCGAGCGGAUGAAGGGAGCUUGCUCCUGGAUUCAGCGGCGGACGGGUGAGUAAUGCCUAGGAAUCUGCCUGGUAGUGGGGGAUAACGUCCGGAAACGGGCGCUAAUACCGCAUACGUCCUGAGGGAGAAAGUGGGGGAUCUUCGGACCUCACGCUAUCAGAUGAGCCUAGGUCGGAUUAGCUAGUUGGUGGGGUAAAGGCCUACCAAGGCGACGAUCCGUAACUGGUCUGAGAGGAUGAUCAGUCACACUGGAACUGAGACACGGUCCAGACUCCUACGGGAGGCAGCAGUGGGGAAUAUUGGACAAUGGGCGAAAGCCUGAUCCAGCCAUGCCGCGUGUGUGAAGAAGGUCUUCGGAUUGUAAAGCACUUUAAGUUGGGAGGAAGGGCAGUAAGUUAAUGCCUUGCUGUUUUGACGGUACCAACAGAAUAAGCACCGGCUAACUUCGUG